CUUGGCUCGGACUCCGGGACUGGCAAAAAGAAAGUAGAAAAAUUCGUAAGACCUCAGGGCUGUGGAAGAGAACGGGACAUCAAGGAAAAAAGAUAUAUAUAGCAACCAACCCAGAAGGCUGCAUGAUGAGUGAAGCAAAGGCAAGUUUGGCUAAGAUAGUAUUAUAUGCUCUGAAAAGAGAAUGGCUGGAUAGGUACCCACUUAUGUGACUGCUUACUAGCAGGCAGCCUUACUGUAUGCCUCAUGGAAUGGAGGCAAAAAGCCAGGGAAAGGUGGGAGGGGAGAAGGAAGAGAACUGUAUAAAACCCAGGGUAAACAAAUGAGUGGGGCAGAAUUACAGAGAGAGGACUCUAAAGUCUUUUGUUUCCUUGAAAGUCUAAAAUAAACCUUAAGUUUUUAACUAUGUCAGUCAAAUUCAAUGAACACAUAAUGAGUAGCACUAGGCACUGUAAAGGAAUGAUAGGGGGAAUAAUUUAUAAAAAUAAAGGAAUGACAUGGAUCCUGCUCUCAAGGAGCUUACAACUUAUACGGAAAGACAAGAUUCCACACAAAAACAACUGCAAACCAUAUUUACAUAGUAACAUACAUAAAAAUAAAUAUACAUAUAAAUAGACAUAUGAAUAACCAACAUAUGAAAACUAAGGAAUAUUGUGUUAAUAACUGCUUAGCAGUACCUAAGUCUGUUACUAAAGAAAAAAUUUUUGGACUUUUAAGUAUAAUUAGUGGAGAGUAGGGCAUGUGCAAAGGUAUGGAACUAGGAAUAAAUAUGUCACAUUCAGUAAGUAGAUUAGCCUGAUUGGAGUAGAAAGUCUAGGUCUAGUUAAGAAGGGAGUUUGAUGAAACAGUAGAAGUCUAUCUGGUGAAAGACACUACAAUGUUAGAUCUGGCCCCUAAAAUAAAAUGAACAGGGAACAAAUGUUUUCUUUAGGUAAUAAUAAGUGGCCACAUGUCCCUGACCAACUUCACUGCUCUUAAAAGUUUUGAAGUUACACUAAGAGAUAGAAGCUAAUAAUAGGAUAGUAGAGAAGUACUCAGUGCUCUUGGGCAAGUAGAGGAAACUGCCUUCUACAAGAAUUCUUAGGAAGUGGCAAGCAGACACCCAAAGGCAAGGAAGAAAAAAACUCAAUGAAAUUCCGAGGCAGAGGAUCUAUCAACCAAAGGCCAACUAGAUCUAGGUAAUUGCAAGUGUUCAAAUAGAAUGUCUUUGACCCUAAUUCUUAGUGGGAAGUGGAUUGUAUAUGCUUACGAAAUUAUUUAUUUAGGCCAGGCACGGUGGCUCACACCUGUAAUCCAGCACUUUGGGAGGCCAAGGUGGGCGGAUCACGAGGUCAAGAGAUCAAGACCAUCCUGGCCAACAUGGUGAAACCCUGUCUCUACUAAAAAUACAAAAAUGAGCCAGGUGUGGUGGCACAUGCCUGUAGUCCCAGCUACUCGGGAGGUUGAGGCAGGAGAACUGCUUGAACCUGGAAAGUGGAGGUUGCAGUGAGCCAAGAUCAUGCCACUGCACUCCAGCCUGGAGACAGAGUGAGACUCCAUCCCCCCAAAAAAAAAAAAAAAAAAAGAAAAAAAAAAUUAUUUAUUUAUUUGAGACAGAGUUUUGCUCUUGUUGCCCAGGCUGCAGUGCAAUGGCGUGAUCUUGGCUUAGCGUAACCUUCACCUCCUGGGUUCAAGCGAUUCUCCUGCCUUGGCCUCCCGAGUACCUGGGAUUACAGGCAUGCACCACCACACCCAGCUAAUUUUGUAUUUUCAGUUGAGAUGGCAUUUCUCCAAGUUGGUCAGGCUGGUCUCGAACUCUUGACCUCAGGUGAUCUGCCCACCUUGGCCUCCCAAAGUGCUAGGAUUACAGGCAUGAGCCAUGGCGCCCCGCCAUGAAAUUAUUUUUUAACUACUGUGAUAAUCAACUUUGAUCCUAACAAUUUAAGAAAUUUGUAUAGGAGGAUAAGAAGAACCCUAAUCUAUAGGGAAUGCUCAUGUCCCUGAAGGAGGACAGGUCAGUAAGGGCCCAAAUUCUCUCCUGGUCUUUAGGUGGAAAGGCAAAACAUCACACUUUAAAAAGAGGCUGCUCUCAGCCAAAGCAAGAAAGACCUCU
rnacentral:lncRNA from 10 species